GGGCCGGUUCACUUUAAGUUCGAAUACCAAGCCUGUCUAUAAACAGUUUGGUGUUCUACCUUACAGUGAGUCGACCG
rfam:Apis mellifera strain DH4 linkage group 10, whole genome shotgun sequence.